rnacentral:pre_miRNA from 1 species
UUCCUACUCCCUCCGUCCGAAAAUACUUGUCAUCAAAAUGGAUAAAAAUAGAUGUAUCUAAAACUAAAAUAUGUCUAGAUACAUUUCCUUUUAUCCAUUUUGAUGACAAGUAUUUCCGGACGGAGGGAGUAUUUG